UACUCCAAAAGGUCUCUUACCAAUGGAGGUAUCUUAUGUAUAUAUAAACCCAUGUCCAUCUCUUACUUUAUCUUAUGUGGGACUUUGUUUGUACCCAACACUUCCCUCAUUAGAGAGGAUUUGUGAACAAUUGUCCACUCCUUAGAAGGCCUUAGUUUUUGUCAAUGAGUGCAGGGGUGAGAGAUCAUGCUUUUAGGGUUUUUAGGAGACACCCUUAGCCUAUAAAUAGAGGUGUCUCCUCUCAUGUAAUCAUCUUUGAUGUUGAGUAAAGUUAAGCUGCCCAUUUUUGGCCAUACUACUCAUCUUAAGAUCAAGACUAGAGCAAUUCAUGAGGUCCCUCUAGUCACCUUCCUCUUUGAGUUGGUCUAACCUCUCUUAGAGCCUUCAAACACCACACCACCACCAUUUAACCACCAUAUGACCAUGAGCUUCUAGUCUCACAAACACUAUAGCUUCCACAUUUCCAGCCCCUAUCCUUGAUGAUCCAUCAUGUUUUCCCACCAGAUAUCUCCAAGGAAACACUCUUCCAUGUACAUCUCCAAGCUUUGGUCCAACCUAGUUAAGGAAGUUGCUAUCAUGAACU
rnacentral:lncRNA from 1 species